rnacentral:rRNA from 1 species
UACGAAGGUGGCAAGCGUUGUUCGGAUUUACUGGGCGUACAGGGAGCGUAGGCGGUUGGGUAAGCCCUCCGUGAAAUCUCCGGGCCUAACCCGGAAAGUGCGGAGGGGACUGCUCGGCUAGAGGAUGGGAGAGGAGCGCGGAAUUCCCGGUGUAGCGGUGAAAUGCGUAGAGAUCGGGAGGAAGGCCGGUGGCGAAGGCGGCGCUCUGGAACAUUUCUGACGCUGAGGCUCGAAAGCGUGUGGAGCAAACAGG